rnacentral:rRNA from 1 species
GAUGAACGCUGGCGGCGUGCUUAACACAUGCAAGUCGAACGGAAAGGCUCCUGCUUGCAGGGGUACUCGAGUGGCGAACGGGUGAGUAACACGUGGGUGAUCUGCCCUGCACUUCGGGAUAAGCCUGGGAAACUGGGUCUAAUACCGGAUAGGACGAUGGUUUGGAUGCCAUUGUGGAAAGUUUUUCGGUGUGGGAUGAGCUCGCGGCCUAUCAGCUUGUUGGUGGGGUAAUGGCCUACCAAGGCGUCGACGGGUAGCCGGCCUGAGAGGGUGUACGGCCACAUUGGGACUGAGAUACGGCCCAGACUCCUACGGGAAGCAGCAGUGGGGAAUAUUGCACAAUGGGCGCAAGCCUGAUGCAGCGACGCCGCGUGGGGGAUGACGGCCUUCGGGUUGUAAACUCCUUUCGCUAGGGACGAAGCGCAAGUGACGGUACCUGGAGAAGAAGCACCGGCUAACUACGUG